UCGAAAGCUUUUUUUCAAAGUCAUUCAUUAACUCCUCUGGUUUUUCCCAAACACUUUUGCGCGUUACUGAGUUGUAGUAAUAAACUCGAGAAUCUUCUGUCUUCACUUCAUGCCAGUCAGAGGCCACAGUCUUGGAAGGAGCUGCUGACGGCCCUUCCUGAUUAGACGUGAAUCCCUCAGUUUCAUCGUACUCUGAAGUUUGCCAUGGAGGUGCAGACAUCUUCACAUUUAUGAAUAACUCCCCUUAAAAUUGGGGUUGUGGUUUAAGCCAGCGUGUAGAGUUACACUCACUGUUCACUACAAACGGGUGUGGUGGUCGAGUCUAUAUGUGGGGGACUCGUUGUUUCACUGUAUUAUCAACUACGUAAUAUCUAAUUGAUAAUAGAGAUACGUUAGACUGUGGUCAGUUUAGAAUACAUUUACUAUAUUGUUGUAAACAGGUCUUGAGAAUAACAGACUUCAAAGUGAGUUAAUUUACAAGCGAUGCUAUAGCCGUUGCUAAACAACUUAUGACUGAGUUGAAAUAUGGAGUGAGUUAAGCUGUAUCAAGAGAAAUUAAACUAAUUUUAUACAAGAAGUAGAAAAAGCUAUAUUGACAUCGUACUUAUAUUAGGGGGUAUUCAAAAAA